CUAGUUGUUGCCAGUACCCAUUCACUUUCGGUUCCAGAGUGGCUACCAUUCCAGUAUCAGACACAUCUGGUAUAAGGGCUAAAGGUAACGACUUGUCCCGGAAUGAAAGUUGCGUACUUGAGGAUAAACUAUGUUUUAUAACUUGAUAAGCUCUUUCACAUUCAUCAUUCCAUAUGAAUUUAAUUUUUUUCUUGAAAACUGGAUUUUACAUCACUGUCCAUUUUUAAAUUUUUUGCUCAAUUAUGAAUACAAUUGAAAAAACUGUAAAUCAUCUUUCGAUUUUGGAUAUGAAAUUCAUGCAAUAACUACAACUUUUGAUUUAAGAGGUUUAAAAUCCAAACAGUAUUCUUAAGUACUCAUACAGACCAAAUUUUGUAAUGAUAGCGUUUUUACUGAUGGAGUCCUCACUUAUGGGUUGGCCACGAAAUUCCUUAAAUUUGGAAGAAGAAAUCAGUCGAGAUCCGUCAAAUUAUUUAAUUGACGAUAAUCACCCCACAUUCACCAUCCUCCUUUGGCUCUAGGUACAACUAAAUAAAUAAUUGAAGAAGAUGGAAGAAUUUUUCCCUUCACCAGAAGUCCAUCAAUUUUGUUUUUUAACAAAAUUGAGGUCCACACCAUCCACCUUGCAGGAUUUUGUAUAGCAGGAAGGACCCUUAUUUUCGAUAUGAUGUUCAACUCAAUGAGCUGGGUGCGACAGUGGGAGAAGAAGAUGGAUCCUCGACAGUCGAAAUAAAAGUGUUUGUGGCUUCCUUCACAGCCGUAAAUACACCUGCUAAAUCAUUAUUCGUAAUCCUCAUCCAGACGACAUUCAAUCUCAUCUUUGAUCUCCAUACUUGAGAACCAAGAAGUAUCAACAAUCAUGUCGGCUUUUCUUUAUAUCCUUGUGGAAGAUGAUACCAUAUGGGACUAAUAUGGAUUACUUCGCUCCCUUACUAGUGAGAUUAUCCACACUAAUAGGAAUAAUAUUGAAAACCUCACCUGGCAAUGUUGACGCCAUUAAACUGUAUUAAACAUUGGUAUGACAAUACCUCUCAACACAAUAUCAAGUUCAAUUCUCCGGAACCAGUUCUUAACAUCCGAAUAACAGAACCUAGGAGGGCAGAGUUCUGCAACGGUAAUUGCUAAAUUAGCCUCUUCCGUUUUAAUCGGCCAUGCUUGUUUUGGGGAGACACAGGUGGUAAAGUUUGCUUUCAGUGUAUUUUUUUAAUA
rnacentral:lncRNA from 1 species